rnacentral:rRNA from 1 species
UACGUAGGGCGCAAGCGUUGUCCGGAAUCAUUGGGCGUAAAGAGCUCGUAGGCGGCCUGUUGCGUCCGCUGUGAAAUCCCGGGGCUUAACCCCGGGCGUGCAGUGGAUACGGGCUGGCUGGAGGCAGGCAGGGGAGAACGGAAUUCCCGGUGUAGCGGUGAAAUGCGCAGAUAUCGGGAGGAACACCGGUGGCGAAGGCGGUUCUCUGGGCCUGUACUGACGCUGAGGAGCGAAAGCGUGGGGAGCAAACAGG